CCCUUAGAUGUUCUGGGCCGCACGCGCGCUACACUGACGAAUGCAACGAGCUUAUAACCUUGGCCGAAAGGUCUGGGUAAUCUCCAAAUUUCGUCGUGAUGGGGAUAGAUUAUUGCAAUUAUUAAUCUUCAACGAGGAAUGCCUAGUAAGCGCAAGUCAUCAGCUUGCGUUGAUUACGUACCUGCCCUUUGUACACACCGCCCGUCGCUCCUACCGAUUGAAUGGUCCGGUGAAGCGUUCGGACCGUGGCCUUUGGACGGUUCGCCGUCUGUUGGCUGCGGGAAGUUCGUUAAACCUUAUCAUUUAGAGGAAGGAGAAGUCGUAACA
rnacentral:rRNA from 1 species